GGCAUCUCUCCCUCCCUGCUCAGGCGCCUCACUGUGCUGUGAGUGUGUUCCUAUUUACAUGCGCAGGUUCCCCGCUGGUGGGACCCGGGCGGGCAGACAGACCAUCCAUCAUCCAUCUUCCUCCCCGCUGAGCCCUGCAUCCAUCGCAGAUCCCAUGGCCGGUGGGGCAGCACCUGCGAGACAGCCUGCAGCUUCCCUCUGCUCUCCUUGCCACGCCUCACAGGCUGGUGGUGCCCUUGAGAGCCACUGUGUUCUCCAAGGCCAAACCCAGAAAGUUAUAAUGGGUCGUGUACAAAGAUGUGCUAUAUACUGGUAGUGUAUAUAUGAAACAGACCCAUUGUGUUCAAGACAUGUGAGCCCUAAGCAAUGUGAUUCCAGUGAUAGGCUAUGUCCAUUUUGCAGAUGGGGAAAUUGAGAUGAAACAGACUAGCACCAGGAGGAGUGCCAUCAAUACUCAGAUAAUAGAAAAAAAUCAGCUAAAAGGCUGGGUGCCUUGGACAUCAGAAAACAGACAUAAAUAUCUCCAGACAUAAAAAUCUCCAGUAUUCAGGCCGUCUUGCCAAAAGUGUACACAAGACAGGAUGAGAGAUUUCUUCUUACCCUGGCCACCACCCUGAAAACUAUUGGGCCAUUCUCAGUGGGAGGAGGGAACAUCCAUUAUGAGUUCUCUGGAUUGUGGGAACUCUCACCCUUUCUCUUAAACAAAUAUCAGCACCACCAAAUCUGUAAUUGAAGUCAUUAAGAUGGGCUUUUUAAUGUUCAAAACAGGAACUGUUGAUUAUAUUGUUCUGAAGCCCUAAGUUACUGUUGCAGAAAGUUCAUAGGGAACAAACAGCAUCAGUGUUCUUUUCCAACUCACUAUGGGCAGUGUAAGGAGUAAAGGGGUCUAAAGGCACAGAAUACACAAGAAAUCCCAGUAAAGACCGUGAGUUCAGCCUAUGCUUACUCUAGAACUGAUCGACCCCUUUCAUACCUGAGAUGAGUGAGUAAAGGGAUUAUGCUGAUCUGGGAGGAUCUAACUCUUUGGUGUUGUAUCUGCUUAAAAUGCCUGGAAAUAAAAUUUAACCAACAAGUAAAAAUGUGUACUUCAAUAAUCUUCUGUCCACCACUAACAGUCAUGACUGGAAACUGCACACAGAGGUAGUCAGGUAGAGAUGAGCAAGAUAGUCCUAGCAUGCAACAUACCAGGACAUACAACAGAACAAAGUUAUCAAAAGUCCAUCUGAUUUUCCUUUGAUGUUUGUGAAGAAUUCUUUAGAAUUUUCUUUCUGAUAAUCUCCAAGUCUUACAUCACUUUCUAUGUUUUUUUUAAUGCAGUGACUUUUAACAUUUUGACUUUGCUUAAGAUGAAAUAUGUAUGUUUUAAAAGAA
rnacentral:lncRNA from 1 species